rnacentral:tRNA from 1 species
GUCCCUGUAGCUUACACUUAAAGCAUGGCACUGAAGACGCCAAGACGGUCGCUUACACCCAAGGACA